GACGAACGCUGGCGGCGUGCUUAACACAUGCAAGUCGAACGGAAAGGCCCUGCUUUUGUGGUGUGCUCGAGUGGCGAACGGGUGAGUAACACGUGAGUAACCUGCCCUUGACUUUGGGAUAACUUCAGGAAACUGGGGCUAAUACCGGAUAGGAGCUCCUGCUGCAUGGUGGGGGUUGGAAAGUUUCGGCGGUUGGGGAUGGACUCGCGGCUUAUCAGCUUGUUGGUGGGGUAGUGGCUUACCAAGGCUUUGACGGGUAGCCGGCCUGAGAGGGUGACCGGCCACAUUGGGACUGAGAUACGGCCCAGACUCCUACGGGAGGCAGCAGUGGGGAAUAUUGCACAAUGGGCGGAAGCCUGAUGCAGCAACGCCGCGUGCGGGAUAACGGCCUUCGGGUUGUAAACCGCUUUCGCCUGUGACGAAGCGUGAGUGACGGUAAUGGGUAAAGAAGCACCGGCUAACUACGUG
rnacentral:rRNA from 1 species